rnacentral:lncRNA from 1 species
CAAAAAGAACAGAUUUAUUGAAUAGAUCCAUCCAAGUUUCAGAUUGGCUUCUCUCUAAAUUGAAUCCCAAAGUUACUAUUUAUUAGAUAAUUCAGCAUUUAUUGGUUGUGUUUAUACUUCUUAAACAACAAAGCAUGCACAAAUAUUAUCUGUAGCUAUUUAAAAUAGAUGAUAUGGAGGCUAAGUAGAAAUGGGCUAUUUAUAGAUAACAGAGCUAUUUGCAAAGAAUUGUAUCAGCUUCUUGAAAAUCAUCAGGGCGUUGUCUAAUAUUUAGAUAAGCAGAAAAACAAGUGAAUGCUCAAUCAAAUCUAGUUUUGUUAUGUGUCAGGCACCGGGAAUCUUUUUUAAUGAAUUAAUAAUUCUUAGAAUAUCUCCUACAUCCAUACUAAUAGGCUGCAUUUUUUCAUUUGUCCUGCUUAUCACAAGUGUGGCUAACUUCAUAUUUGUUUCAAUGAUGGAAUUCUUUCAGAGUGUUUUGGCCUUUUAGUCAAUUUGCUGCAAGUUGUAAUGGAAAGCGCACCUCUCUGGAACUCGGGAGUCUUGGAUCCUACACAUGGUUCUAUGCAUAAAUAGAAAUGAAAUUAGCUUCCUGGAUACUAAGCUAGUAUUAAUCAGGUGAUUCUAAUUAAAAUCACUCUGCUAGCUA